rnacentral:rRNA from 1 species
UACGUAGGUGGCAAGCGUUGUCCGGAUUUACUGGGCGUAAAGAGCGCGCAGGCGGUCGCGCAAGUCGCGUGUGAAAGCCCCCGGCUCAACUGGGGAGGGUCACGCGAUACUGCUCGACUCGAAGGCAGGAGAGGGAAGUGGAAUUCCCGGUGUAGUGGUGAAAUGCGUAGAGAUCGGGAGGAACACCAGAGGCGAAGGCGGCGACCUGGACAAGUACUGACACUCAACUACGAAAGCGUGGGUAGCAAACAGG